rnacentral:rRNA from 1 species
GACGUAGGAGGCGAGCGUUAAUCGGAAUUACUGGGCGUAAAGCGUGCGCAGGCGGUUCUAUAAGACAGAUGUGAAAUCCCCGGGCUCAACCUGGGAACUGCAUUUGUGACUGUAGAGCUGGAGUGCGGGCAGAGGGGGAUGGAAUUCCGCGUGUAGCAGUGAAAUGCGUAGAUAUGCGGAGGAACACCGAUGCGAAGGCAAUCCCCUGGGCCUGCACUGACGCUCAUGCACGAAAGCGUGGGGAGCAAACAGG